UGGAAAUGACUGCAGCCAGGUGUGUGUGAUUGGGCCCCGCGACCUUUUUCUUAGGCAAACAGGGCUUUGUGGAUGCAGAAAGACUUCUUUGGUUGUGUAGUUUGUCUCAGAGCCUCUCGUGGGUGGAGCCUGGUAAAAAGAGGAAAGAGACUCAUGUUGCUCAAUGUGAGGAAGCACCAGGAAUUUUGGAGAAGUUCCCAGCAGCUCAGGAGAGUGGCUGGUGCCUUGUCCCAGGGGAGAGGGAAAUAAGCACAGGCCUAUUUCUUUCUCAAGACGGAAAAACCGAGCCCCAGAAAAUGGCGAUAAGAUGGGGAUGCAGGAAAAAGCUAGCUAAUGAACAGUUCAGCAGUGGGCACCGUGUGGGAACCUCUCCUAAGCCGCCCUCCCUCUGAUGGAUGCAUGCUCAAGUGAUUUCGUUGGCCCUUAAAGGAAAGUGUUAUUCCAUCCUGUAAUCCUAGCACUUUAAAAGGAGGCCGAGGUGGGAGGAUCACCUGAGGUCAGGAGUUCACGACCAGCCUGGCCAACAUGGUGAAACCCCGUCUCUACUAAAAAAUACAAAAAUUGGCCGGGUGUGGUGGCAUAUGCCUAUAGUCCCAGCUACUUGGGAGGCUGAGGCAGGAGAAUCACUUGAACCCGGGAGGUGGAGGUUGCAGUGAGGUGAGAUCGUGCCAUUGCACUCCAGCCUGGCCACAGAGCGAGACUCCAUCUCAAAAAAAAAAAAAAAAAAAGACAUCUGCCCAAGGGUCAUAGCUGUAGAGGGGCAGAUGUGGUUUGAACCCAGGGCGUCUGGUUCCUCUCUGGAAGCAACCAAAGUGCCUGUGAUUGGGGUAGUGACAAAGCACUCUGAGCCGCUGCAUGGCAGAUGCUGUGAAGAGUCAUCUUUGCCUGUCCCAUAUCUAUUCCCAUUUUUUCUGAUUGUAACACCUUGUUUUUUUGUGUGUGGUGGGGGAACCAUGCCCUUUCAACCAAGCUAUGUGGUGUUCAUAAGGGUAGCCCCUCCUCCGACCCCAGGAGUGGCAGUUCACAGCCCUGACUGAUCACAGUGUUCCGUGGCCUAGCUGUAACCACCCCAGGGAGUGAGACUGAACUCAGGGGUUCAUUGGACCUAUCAGGAAAGAGAGACCUUUCUUGUUUCUGGACUUGGAGCUGUGAUGAAGUAAGUGGGUCAGGGGCCAACACAUAGACAGCGUUGGCCUACAAAUGCAGCCCAGGCAGAGGACGGUGCAGCCAAGCCACACAGAGAGACAACUUCCUAGUGACACGCUGUGAACUCCUGCAUCCACCCCUGCCUGAACUGGAGCUUUUCCUCUUCAGCUCUUCAGUUAUGUGAGGCAAGAUGUUGCCUUUUUUGCUUAAUGCUGUGAGUUGAGUGUACAGCAGUUACAAUCAAAGAAUCCUAAAUAAUGCUGCAAGCAUGGUGACUAUCUACAUGGGAAUAUGCAGUACUCCAGUGAAGACAAAACAUAAAUUAAUUUUGGAAUCUGAUGACCAUAAUCUAAAAACAUUCAUAGAGGUAUAUAAAAAUUAUAACAAAAUUUAAAGUAGCAUAUCUCCUCAUGAAGCAGGUUAAGUGUAUACACAAAGAAGGAGGAGGAAAAGGUGAGAAAGAAUCUGCCCUUGUGGGGAAGUGACAGAGGCAGAAGAGGCUGAUGCAGUCCUGCAUCCAGGCCCAGCUCUGCCAGCAGCUGAGUACCCCUGAACAAGCUCCCCCACCUCUUCGGGCCUCACUUUCCCCAUCUAUGAAAGAAAGGGAGUCUAGCUUCCAUAGCUGCCCCAGCUGAUACGCAAGGUGCCAGUGUGUCCUCAGUCCUGUCAGGAGAAACCUUCCCCACUAGAAUCCCAGGAGGAGCUUGAAAUCCUGUCUGGGAUCCUGACGGCCCAGGUGCUGACCCUGCCUCGGGUUGUGUCUGCUAAGAAGUCUGAUUUCUGCUCAUCUCUCCCCAUUUCUUUCUUCCCAUAAAGUGGGCUGAUGCGCUGGAACGUCGAUGCAGCCAGUGAUGUGUUUGAUGAGAAUGUAUUGAGAGUAAAGCUGCCCAGAAUCCAAGUGUGUGUCAUCUGAACUCUUGAAUCAUGGAUGGAAGGUAUGUCCUCUGUUGAUGUCUCGCAGCCUGAGCUGACAAUCUGUAAGAAGGUUUUGUUAUCUUCAUGUUACAGAUGGUGAACCGAAACUUACAGAGCUCAAGUCACUUGACCAGGCUCCACCCCUACAAGAGGCAGCACGCAAACUAAAAACCAGGCGGCCUUUUCCAAAGCUUGUGCUCUGCUCCACUGCUGGAAGGAACCCUUCGGGGAAUUGAAGCAGCACUGAACAAAGGCCAUUUUUAAGAAGCGACACCAGAAACCUAAGGCGGGGUCCCCGGCUCAACAAGGAUCUCAUGUUUUGUGGGUCAGAGAUUCUUGUGUCGUGUCUGGGUGAGGUCAAAAACCAUGCAGAGACUUUCACUUCCUGUUCUGUGGCAGACAAGACAUCUGAAAAGCUCUCCUGCAGCAACACUUCUAGAUGCCAAGUAAAUCACAGCAAGUGCACUUUUAAAUGUGUUACUAAGAUCAUAAAAAUGAAGGAAAAUGCCCAAGCAUAUCCCCAACCCCUCACCCCACAACCACCACCACCACAAUAAACAAGUUGCUGACAGUG
rnacentral:lncRNA from 10 species